rnacentral:rRNA from 1 species
GACGAACGCUGGCGGCGUGCUUAACACAUGCAAGUCGAACGGAAAGGCCCUGCUUUUGUGGGGUGCUCGAGUGGCGAACGGGUGAGUAACACGUGAGUAACCUGCCCUUGACUUUGGGAUAACUUCAGGAAACUGGGGCUAAUACCGGAUAGGAGCUCCUGCUGCAUGGUGGGGGUUGGAAAGUUUCGGCGGUUGGGGAUGGACUCGCGGCUUAUCAGCUUGUUGGUGGGGUAGUGGCUUACCAAGGCUUUGACGGGUAGCCGGCCUGAGAGGGUGACCGGCAACAUUGGGACGGAGAUACGGCCCAGACUCCUACGGGAGGCAGCAGUGGGGAAUUUUGCACAAUGGGCGGAAGCCUGAUGCAGCAACGCCGCGUGCGGGAUGACGGCCUUCGGGUGGUAAACCGCUUUCGCCUGUGACGAAGCGUGAGUGACGGUAAUGGGUAAAGAAGCACCGGCUAACUACGUG